rnacentral:rRNA from 1 species
GAUGAACGCUGGCGGCGUGCUUAACACAUGCAAGUCGAACGAUGAAGCCCAGCUUGCUGGGUGGAUUAGUGGCGAACGGGUGAGUAACACGUGAGUAACCUGCCCUUAACUCUGGGAUAGGCCUGGUAAACUGGGUCUAAUACCGGAUAGAAGCGCCUACCGCAUGGAGGGUGUUGGAAAGAUUUAGCGGUUUUGGGUGGACUCGCGGCCUAUCAGCUUGUUAGUGAGGUAAUGGUUCACUAAGGGAAAGACGGGUAGCCGGCCUGAGAGGGUGACCGGCCACACUGGGACUGAGACACGGCGCAGACGCCUACGGGAGGCAGCAGUGGGGAAUAUUGCACAACGGCCGAAAGCCUGAUGCAGCGACGCCGCGUGAGGGAUGACGGCCUUCGGGUUGUAAACCUCUUUCAGUAGAGAAGAAGCGAAGGUGACGGUACCUGCAGAAGAAGCACCGGCUAACUACGUG